rnacentral:ncRNA from 1 species
UAUCUGGUUGAUCCUGCCAGUAUUAUAUGCUGAUGUUAAAGAUUAAGCCAUGCAUGUGUAAGUAUAAAGACCAAGUAGGAUGAAACUGCGGACGGCUCAUUAUAACAGUAAUAGUUUCUUUGGUUAGUAAAUACAAGGAUAGCUUUGUGAAUGAUAAAGAUAUACUUGAGACGAUCCAGUUUGUAUUAGUACAAAUGGCCCAUUCAUUUCAUGAUUGAGAAUGACAUUCUAAGUGAGUUAGGAUGCCACGACCAUUGUAGAACACA